rnacentral:tRNA from 1 species
GUAGCUCAGGGGAUAGAGCGUUCGCCUCCGGAGCGAAAGGUCGCAGGUUCGAAUCCUGCC